CCUACGGGAGGCAGCAGUGAGGAAUAUUGGUCAAUGGACGGAAGUCUGAACCAGCCAUGCCGCGUGCAGGAAGACGGCUCUAUGAGUUGUAAACUGCUUUUGUACAAGGGUAAACCUGAAUACGUGUAUUUAGCUGAAAGUACUGUACGAAUAAGGAUCGGCUAACUCCGUGCCAGCAGCCGCGGUAAUACGGAGGAUCCAAGCGUUAUCCGGAUUUAUUGGGUUUAAAGGGUGCGUAGGCGGAUUGAUAAGUUAGAGGUGAAAUGUCCGAGCUUAACUCGGGAACUGCCUCUAAUACUGUUGAUCUAGAGAGUAGAUGCGGUAGGCGGAAUGUAUGGUGUAGCGGUGAAAUGCUUAGAGAUCAUACAGAACACCGAUUGCGAAGGCAGCUUACCAAUCUAUAUCUGACGUUGAGGCACGAAAGCGUGGGGAGUAAACAGGAUUAGAUACCCCUGUAGUC
rnacentral:rRNA from 1 species